UGUGGAGCACACGGGAGUCCGGUAGGCCGGGCUGAGAGGAAAGUACUCAACUUUCGACCGUCGAACCUGAUCUGGAUCAUGCCAGCGCAGGGAGACACUCUUGAAUUACCC
rnacentral:ncRNA from 2 species